CGCAGGUGGUGCUUCAUUUAGUAGGACGCAUGCGCAGGCGCAUCUCCCAAAAUCGCCACUUCGAACGGCACGCGAUUUUUAAGCACAGUUUCAUCGCCUACGUUACUUUAGCUAACCCUAACAUGUUGGCGUUUCGCCUACUUUAGUUAACCUACUUAGCGCGUACCACCGAUACAGAUGUCUGGACACACGGAGGACAACAAAUACCGUUACAGAGAAACAUUUGCUGUAUGGGUGAGACCACUGGUUUCAGCUGAAAAUGUCAGGAGCGCGGAGGAGCCUUGAUCCAGUCGGGAGGCUCCCUGUUAAUCCACAUCCAUUCUAAUGAGGUGAGAGGAGAGGAUCCUUCGCCGCGUAAUGAACUGUCACGCCGUCCUUCCUGUCGACGUCCAGGCGGGAGCGCCGUGCCUGUCACCGCGCCGGACAGGCUGAGGACGUCUCCAGACGCGGGCUCUCUCUCUCCCGCGCGGCGCGGCGAAGCCAGGUGACCGGGGAUCGUUUAAUUAGCCGGCGGCUCGUCACGCGGCGCCACUCGGGGGGGGUUUGGGGGGGUGGAGAAGCCUCCCCUCCACGCCACAGCCGUCCCUUCUCCCCAUUUAGCUUCAUUGACACCUUGCAUUAGCCGCUAAUGAGAACUGUUGUCUUUGAUUGUCGAACCUUUCCUUCGCCGCCGGCUGAAAUAUGGCUUUUUAAUUACGCCCGCCGACCCGUUUGAGGGCUUCGGUUCGCGCGGCGGCGGUGGCGGCAUCGCGCCGUCUCUCUGCGGCUCCGCGGACGACGACGGUGGAUCAUCAGAACCUGAGACUGCAUAACUGCGGAUCGAGGAUGAACUCAAAAUCAUAAAAAACGCCAAGGAAACCUCUACUGUGGCAAAUCCGUAACACACCACAACAUAAUAGGCAAAAUAACAAAAUUAAUUUUAAACUUGGUCCAGAGUGAAAGAGAAUUGAGCAUGACCACCCCCAAUAAAACAUCGUUCUGACUCCGUUAACACUUACAGAGAGCGGCCUCACGGAUGACAGCCGCAGAGCGAAAGAGAGAUUCACCCUGGCGCUCGCUCCCGCCCUGAGCUUCCGUCUGUUUUCCCCGGAGCGAUGAAGCGACCGGAUGAUGUGAAGUGGGCGGAGUCUCUCUUCCUGAAAUAAUGGGGACAAACGGCGUUCCGGACCGCGCCGUCGGCUGAGGGGCGGAGCUGGCGGGCGAAGCCUGCGGGAGGCUCCCGCCCUCAGCCGAAAAGCGCCCACGGGGCGGUCUCCUGAAGGUUAAUCGAGUCUUGGGCAACCCAAAAUUUCAGCCUUACUGAUCCCCGAUCAGGAUUCCUGGAAUUAUUAUGGCCACCCCGUGAAAUGCCCUCAAGUUGAGCAUCUUUAAGUGAAAAGAGGUCUUACAGUAGCAAAGAAAGACAGGUCUUUAGGCUGAUUAUUUCUUAAAGUGCCUUGAAUAGUGUAAAAUGAGGUCUUAUUUAGUGUACUGUAUUUGACCCUGUGUAGUGCAUGUGUUCUGUAAUUUUUAAAAGAUUAUUUGUAACACUGUGACCAUUAUGGCAGAGUUAUUAGCCCCACUUUGAUAAAGGGAAAGAAGAGGUGUGACUGUAAAGCGUGAGUAACUGAGAUGAUU